CCUACGGGGGGCUGCAGUGAGGAAUAUUGGUCAAUGGGCGCGAGCCUGAACCAGCCAAGUAGCGUGAAGGAUGACUGCCCUACGGGUUGUAAACUUCUUUUAUAAAGGAAUAAAGUAAGGCACGUGUGCCAUUUUGUAUGUACUUUAUGAAUAAGGAUCGGCUAACUCCGUGCCAGCAGCCGCGGUAAUACGGAGGAUCCGAGCGUUAUCCGGAUUUAGUGGGGUUAAAGGGGUCGUAGGUGGGUGGUUAAGUCAAUUGUGAAAGUUUGCGGCUCAACCGUAAAAUUGCAAUUGAUACUGGCAGUCUUGAGUACAGUUGAGGUAGGCGGAAUUCGUGGUGUAGCGGUGAAAUGCUUAGAUAUCACGAAGAACUCCGAUUGCGAAGGCAGCUUACUAAACUGCGACUGACACUGAUGCUCGAAAGUGUGGGUAUCAAACAGGAUUAGAUACCCCAGUAGUC
rnacentral:rRNA from 1 species